rnacentral:tRNA from 1 species
GGUUUUGUGGUGCGGUUGGUUAUCACGUUAGUCUAACACUCUGAAGGUCUCCGGUUAAUGUCCGGGUGAAGCCA